rnacentral:rRNA from 1 species
AUCAACUUUCGAUGGUAGGAUAGAGGCCUACCAUGGUGGUAACGGGUAACGGGGUGUUAGGGCACGACACCGGAGAGGGAGCCUGAGAAACGGCUACCACAUCCAAGGAUGGCAGCAGGCGCGCAAAUUACCCAAUCCCGACACGGGGAGGUAGUGACAAUAAAUAACAAUACGGGGUUCUUUCGGAUUUCGUAAUUGGAAUGAGUACAAUUUAAAUCUCUUAACGAGGAACAAUUGGAGGGCAAGUCUGGUGCCAGCAGCCGCGGUAAUUCCAGCUCCAAUAGCGUAUAUUAAAGUUGCUGCAGUUAAAAAGCUCGUAGUUGAAUUUCGGGACUAAUAUGUCGGUCGUGCCUCGGUACGUACUGGUUUAUUGGUUUCUCCUUUCUGAAGAACCAUGAUGUCAUUUAUUUGGUGUCGUGGGGAAUCAGGACUGUUACUUUGAAAAAAUUAGAGUGUUUAAAGCAGGCUCACGCUUGAAUACAUUAGCAUGGAAUAAUGAAAUAGGACGUUUGAUUCUAUUUUGUUGGUUUCUAGGAUCGACGUAAUGAUUAAUAGGGAUAGUUGGGGGCAUUAGUAUUCAAUUGUCAGAGGUGAAAUUCUUGGAUUUAUUGAAGACUAACUACUGCGAAAGCAUUUGCCAAGGAUGUUUUCAUUAAUCAAGAACGAAAGUUAGGGGAUCGAAGACGAUCAGAUACCGUCGUAGUCUUAACCAUAAACUAUGCCGACUAGGGAUCGGAUGAUGUUAAUUUUUUAAUGACUCAUUCGGCGCCUUACGGGAAACCAAAGUGUUUGGGUU